GAUGAACGCUGGCGGCGUGCUUAAUACAUGCAAGUCGAGCGAACGGACGAGAAGCUUGCUUUUCUGAUGUUAGCGGCGGCCGGGUGUGUAACACGUGGAUAACCUCUCUAUUAGACUGGGGUAUCUUCGGGAAACCGGAGCUCAUAUCGGAUAAUCUUUUGAACCGCAUGGUUCAAAAGUGAAAGACGCUUUUGCUGUUACUUAUAGCUGGAUCCGCGCUGCAUUAGCUAGUUGGUAAGGUAACGGCCUACCAAGGCCACGAUGCGUAGCCGACCUGAGAGGAUGAUCGGCCACACUGGAACUGAGACACGGUCCAGACUCCUACGGGAGGCAGCAGUGGGGAAUCUUGCGCAAUGGGCGAAAGCCUGACGGAGCAACGCCGCGUGAGUGAUGAAGGUCUUCGGAUCGUAAAGCUCUGUUAUUAGGAAAGAACAGAAGUAGAAGUAACUGUGGACAUCUUGACGGUACCUAAUCAAAAAGCAACGGCUAACUACGUG
rnacentral:rRNA from 1 species